rnacentral:misc_RNA from 1 species
AAGAGACGUUGCCCUUCGGGGUAUACCUCCCACCCUUUGUUUAUUAUACCUUUGUUGCUUUGGCAGGGCCCGUCCUCGGACCACUAGGCUUCUGCUAGGUCAGUGCCCGCUAGAGGACCUAAAACUCUGUUUGUUAAUAUUGUCUGAGUACUAUAUAAUAGUCA